rnacentral:lncRNA from 1 species
AGGCGCCCUGCAUGGAGCGGAUGAACUCCCCGCGCAUCCACUCCCAGGUGAGCCGCCAGUUGUCGAGCCGCCCCAGGGGGCUCCCGUUGGCGAUGGUGACGAGGGCGAGAUAGUCGGAAGGGGAGGACUGGGUCACGUCGUAGGAGAUGGUGAGGUCCCCUUCUCGCCUGGGGAGGAACUCCGUGUCCAGCGGCGACGACGAGUCGUUGGACCUGAAGUUGGGGUCGCGCACGCAGCAGGUGAGGGAGGUAUCGGUGCCGGGGGGGCGAGUCGCCGCCGGGCAGAUGUAGUCCUUCCUGCUCCCCAGGGAGAGGCUUCCCGGCAUGAACUCGGCGCCGAACUGCGUGCCAACGAUGUUGAUGCUGACCUGCAUCUGGGUCAGGUCGCCGGCGGUCUCGAUGGCGGUCUUGAGAUCGGUGACGGGGUUGCCGGAGAAGGAGGCGCCGUCGGGGCCGACGACGGCGGGGAG